rnacentral:tRNA from 1 species
AAAGGGAGACCUAAUUCAGGUAGGAGACGAAAAAAAGUAGUCCCUACCAAGAAUCAAUCCCAAAAGGUCGGAGCGAGGCAAAAUUGGCUUUCAAACUAGGUUCUGGGUUCACACAAGACCUGAAUCAGGAACAAGGGCUAUUAGCUCAGGUGGUUAGAGCGCACCCCUGAUAAGGGUGAGGUCCCUGGUUCGAGUCCAGGAUGGCCCACCUGCACAGGUGGCAAAAACAAAGAAAAAAAGCUCCGAAUCAGCACCUUAUCUUACUUAUACAGUAAGAGAGAAUGCUGGCUCUGAGUUCAGAGUCCAGAGGAACCUUGAAAACUGCAUAGAGCUAGGUGAAAAAGCCAAGAAAGAAGACCGCAAG